rnacentral:lncRNA from 10 species
CUGCCCAUUGCUGAGCUGAUUUGGAAUUUGGGCCUGAGAGAGGAAGUGAUUAUUGGAUGACAGGCUGCCUCCUAGGGGGCUUCUCUGGGCUUGCCAUGAAAGCACUUCCGGAGGAAAAGCAGAGCUCCAUCAGUCUCUUUUGGAGAGCUGUGAACGUGACCAGACCUAUUAAUUACUUAACUGAGGUGCUGAACUUUGAAAAUGAAAGUUCCGGUGGGGAGUUCUGUCCUUUCCAGCCUGGGGAGCUCUGUCAGGGCUCUCCUGAGCGUCUCUUUCAGCUUAUCAAGCUCGCUCGGGGACCGUCUCUGAGAGAGAGUCUCACUCUGUCACCCAGGCUGGAGUGCAGUGGCAUGAUCUCGGCUCACUGCAACCUCCGCCUCCUGGGUUCAAGUGAUUCUCCUGCCACAGCCCCUUGAGUAGUUGACGUUACAGGCACCCACCACCGCACCCAGAUACUUUUCGUAUUUUUAGUGGAGACGCUGUUUCACCAUGUUGGCCAGUUGGUCUCGAACUCCUGACCUCAAGUGAUCUGCCUGCCUUGGCCUCCCUAUGUGCUGGGUUAUAGGCGUAAGCCACUGUGCCCUGCUUCAUGUCAUUUUUAAAGAGCCCACACAACUCCUGUAGCUGCAUUACGACAACCUCAACGGCAAGACCUCGACGUGAUAUUACUCCACGUGAAAGUCUAAAAGGCGCUGAGCACAGUGCUCUGCCAAUGGUGUGUCUUCCAGCCUCGCUUGCUGAGAGAACAGAUGUGCCGGGGAAGAAAUGGACAAAGCUGGGAAAGGAGUCUAACUUCUUCAAAGCGGUUGGGCACCGCCGCCAUGUAGGAAGUGCCUUUAGCCUUCUGCCAUGAUUGUGAGGCCUCCCCAGCCAUGUGCAACUACUGGGAAAGUGAGGUGCAGAGGUAUUUUGCAACGUGCCCACAGAACCCCAGCGAGCCCGUGUUGGAGUUACAACUGUGCCUCAGGGAGCAUUCUCAGGCAGCAUUCUCUUAUGCUUCACCGUCUCACAGAUGAUAAGGUUUCAUUCAAGGACUUACAACAGCAACCCGGAGGGAGCAUUCUCAGUGGCUGGUAGAUGCCAUUUGUACUGAGCAGGACAAUUAAGCCCAAUUCUGGAAAAAUUCUGCUUUCUCUAUUCAAUGCAUUUUAUAAAUGUCUUCACUCAGCACAUUUACCCUACUAAUUAUAUUUUGCUUUGUGAUCAUGGUAUGUCAUUUGCAUUCCUUCAGCACACACUGACUGAUGGGGAAGAGAUGUUGGGUGACCCAGGCAAGCCAAACAGGAUUAAAGCCUGCUGUCUCACCAGGUGGAUAAUCCACUUUGAACACUUGAGAGGGGAGUGUUGAGAUCACACCCCUUCCCAUGGGACAUUUUUCUGGGAAAUAAAAUCGGUGACAAACACCACGCUUGAACACUCACAUUGACUCUAGGGUGCAGGCUGAGCUCAUCUGGUGCAGGGGAGUAAUGCAGAGGCGAGGCCUGAGUCAGCGCCAGGCACAGGAAGGGGAUGCAGGAUGCACCACAGCCCAUGCCUCUUAGGAGAAAAUCUGGGCCUUCUCCAUGGCUGUGUCUCUAUUAAUUUGCUAAGGCUGCCCAAAUAAAGCACCACACAUGGGCAGCUUACAUAACAGGAAUUUAUUCUCAGUUCUGGAGGCCGGCAGUCUGAGAUCAAGGUGUCAGCACAGCUGGUUCCUUCUGAGGACUGUGCAGGAGAAUCUGUUCCAGGCCUCUCCCUGAACUUCUGGGGGUCACUGGCCAUAUUUGGCAUUCCUUGGCUUAUAGAAGCAAUACCCCAAUUUCUGCCUUCAUCCGCAUGUGGCAUUCUCCCUGUGUGCGUGUUUCUGUGUCCACAUUUUUCCUUUUUAUAAGGAUACCAGUCAUGUUGGAGGUCUACCCUACUCCUUGAUGACCUUAUCUUAACUAGUUAUAUCUGCAACAAACCUAUUUCCAAAUUAGGUCACAUUCUGAGGUCCUGGGGGUUAGGACUUUAACAUAUGAAUUUUAAGAGGACACAGUCCAACCCAUAAUAGUAACUUUGUCCCUCUCUCUCUUUUGACACAAUAAUGACCCUAUGCAGGGAUAUUUCUAGGUGGCUACUGUCUGUGUGUGUGUGGUAGGGGGACUUCUAGUACUGUUUUGGAUUACUGUUGACAGACAGCAGCCUGAGGCUAGGAAGCACUUUGGGGCCAUGACUUAGAGCAAAGCUAGUAAGUUUUCUCAGGAAUUUGAACCCAGAAUUUCAUCCCCAUGGCACUUUAAUCCAGUACAUUUAAUGGCUCAGAUGACCCUGGCCUUAUCAGCCUGGUGCUCUAAGCAGCUGACCUAACAGUGUGUGCAUGCGUGUAUGCACAUGUGUAUGUUAUGUGCAUAUAUAAGUGCAUACACAUAAUGUUGGACACAGAAAUAUCUCUGAGAACUGUCCCUUUAUCACCCUUCAGAUAAAAUUAUUCUCAGCUUGCUUAGUUGCAGUGUUUCUUACUUUGCAUCUCCUAACACUUUCAUACAUUUCUCCCGAAGUGCAUAGGCAAGGAGCUUCAACGGAAUUCAAUGUCAACCUGGUCAUCUUACCAUGAUUUCUAGGAAAAAAUGUGUGUAAUUGGUUCAUGCCCUCCUUCUGUACAGAUUACAAUUCUCCUUUUUUGGCAUGAAAACCUCCAUCUGUCUUUUGAAAGCACAUGUCACUUAUUUAUUAAAGUCCUCCCCAACUUGUUCAGGUUGAGUUUCACUAGUACCUUUCUGGAGUAUUUUAUACCUAUGUUAUAGCCCCAUAUGUUAUACUUUGGAUGUCUGUUUACCUGUCUGUAAGACUGUCUGCAUAAUUCAUGGGCCUUGUACAAAAUAAGAAUUCAGGGACUCUUGUUACAAGAAACUAUUAAGAAUUUCAAGAUGGGUCAGGCGCGGUGGCUCACGCCUGUAAUCCCAACACUUUGGGAGGCUGAGGCGGGCAGAUCACGAGGUCAGGAGUUCGAGACCAGCCUGGCCAACAUGGCGAAACCCUGUCUCUACUAAAAAUACAAAAAUGAGCUGGGCGUGGUGGUGUCUGCCUGUAAUUCCAGCUACUCAGGAGGCUGAGGCAGGAGAAUCACUUGAACCUGGGAGGUGGAGGUUGCAGUGAGCCAAGAUCGCACGGUUGCACUUCAGCCUGGGAAAUGGAAUGAGACUCCAUCUCAAAAAAAAAAAAAAAAAUUAAGAUGGAGAUAGCAGAACCAUAUAGGAAGUGUGGGGUCCUUGUAAGAGUGUGGUCCAUAAACUUGGCUUUGUCUGUCUGCCUGGUUCAUGGAUUGUGACUAUCCUCAGUUCCCCAGUGCCCAUCAUUCAACAAAUGUUAGAUGAAUAAAUGAAUCAAUAUGUGAAUGACUGUAAGAAUAAGCUUUUGAUGAAAGGCAGCCAUUUUGUAAGCAAGACAUUGCUGCUUUUAAUUGUCCGCAGAAAGCCUCACAGAAUCACUGCGGUGAGAGGAAAAAAAGUGUCUGCAUGCAAUUAUUCGUAAUAACAAAUAAUCAUACUUUGUAUGCGUGUAAGACUUUUCAUGUUCAAAACACUUUCAAAACAUUAAUUAAUUCUUACAACAGCAUCAAUGAAAUUGAAACUAGAAGGAGAAUUUGAGGUAUGCAAAAUUUAAUUACCAAUAUUAAAAUUUGCCACACAACUCACACUCCUCCCACUGGGCCAGGAAACACAUUCCAUGCCAUCUUCUCUCCCUCUGAAAAAAACAUGAACAUGAGAACUUAGUUCUAUUAUAUCAGUCAGGAAGGAGGCAAAACUAUCUGUGGAGAAACCCCAAGGGGUGGGGAGAGGUAUUUAUACAUCUGAGGGAGGAUUGCAUUUAUUCAUCUGUGAGUUCCCUUUAGAUUCUGGGAUUUAGGAUUCUGGGAACCCAGGUAAGCAUCGUCAUGACCACAGGGUGGGCUCAUUUUGAAUAAAGAUGUGGGGAAUUCUGUGAGGUUAUAAGAUAAACCCCAGCCAGUUCUUUCCCCCGACCCCCAAGAAAUGGUGGUGACUUCUUAGAAUCCUGAGCCACAUUGGGAAACUCUGGUGGGGACUUUGUCUACAUUAUUGGAGGGUGGGUGGAGUGUGGGUGGGAAAGCUUGGCCUUAUACAAAGACAGCCCAAAGUGGGCAAUGUGGAGCUGCUUCUAGAACCCUGAACAUUCUGAACUUUUGGAUCCUCUAGGCUGGAGGGGUGGGGGUAGGCAUUGGUGCACCUUAGCAGGGGGAGGAGCUACCUGUCCUCUCUGGAGCAGAGAGAGCCUUCACACGGAGGACACCUGGGCUCUGUUUCCCAUGAGGCAUGAGGCCACUGGGUGGGGGGUGUCCUGGUGUCCUCAGCCAAGGACUCCUGCCUCCUGAAGGAAACGAGAGCAUAGCUCCACAUUCCCUAAGUGGGGCUGUGCAUCGUGACUUCCUUCCAAAGGGGACAGUGAAAAGUCGGGGGAGAUAAAAGGGUAACAUUCUGGAAGAGAGAUAUAACAAACGCUACUUCAGCCAGGCGAUCAAGGUCAACAUCAAGGCACAAAUGUUUGUUGUUUUCUUCUUCAGGCCUAGGUUUCUCCUCUGAAAUAACUUGAGCUCUUCAGAAGGUACAAAAUCUCUCUGACACUAAAGUUUAGUUUAACGACUGGCUAGAGACGUGGUAAUCAAGCAUCUCACUGACAAGCUUCUGUUUUCUUCUUCUUUGUGCAUGGCCAUGUCCAUGUACUGCCUGAUCCUACCCCUGUUUCCUACCUGUGCUCAGGAGCGGUGACUUCUAGGUCACAUCCUUUCUUGCUGACCCCACUUUGGUUCCUGACAUUUUUUGUGGUCCUCCUGCAGACCAUUUAAGAUCAAUGUUAAAGCAAACUAAAUAUGGCCUGAGAAGGACUCCAUAUUUCUAUAUUUGAGUCCUGUGGAUGAACUGUAACCUAGCUUAAUGGUCAGACAAAAUUAAAAACCUAACUUAAUAGUAUGCACCUGUAACAAUAGCUAAGGGUUGGCCAAUCCCAGUGGUCAUAAUUCAACCACUCAUAGACUCCUGAAUGUUCAAACUGCGUUCAAAUAAGGCAAACGCCAAGCUGUAACCAAUCUCACUGUAUCUGUACCUCACUUCCGAUUCUUGUACAUCACUCUACCUGUUUGGUCUAUAAAUUUGUUCUGACCACGAGGCACCCCUGGAGUCUCCGUGAAUCUGCUGUGUUCCUGGGGGCUGCCCGAUUCACAAAUUGUUCAUUGCUCAGUUAAACUCCUUUAAACUUGAUUCGGCUGAAGAUUUUCUUCUAGCAUCAGUCAUGAGGUCCCAUGAGACAGCAGUGACAGAACUGGAAGAUACUUUAGACAGUAAUUCUUGGUGGGAAGAUACCUUGAGUUGAACCCAGAGUCUUGAAACUAAAAUACUAAAGAUACUUUGCACUGGGGUGGUGGUGAGAGAAGUAUUUCUUUUAAAAAACUCCCAACCACUACCCAAGCCUGAUUCCUGCAAUGUACAGCAAUGAAGGCAGAUGAAGCUUCCUGGCCUUAGGUUGAACAUACAGCCCUUUCCACUUUGGGUUGGCUAGUGUCAUGUAACUCUUUUUAGUUUCUUUAUUAUUAUUAUUAUUUUUGAGAUGGAGUCUCGCUCUGUCGCCCAGGCUAG